GUCUGAAGCUCAGAUUCUAAUUUUAAUACAGGAACAGAAAUGUCUGCUGGAACUGCGUCACGCUGCUCCAAUUUCCUGUUUUUCAGCGUCUUUGUCUUUGUCUCAGCAGGUCAGAAAUCCAUCACAGCUAAGUCUGGACAGGACGUCACUCUGACAUGUCGAGCUCCAAACAACAACAACAACAUCAGAUCUGCACACUGGAGCAGAGCUGGCCUGUGAGAUAAAUAUGUGCUUUUGUACCGGGGUGGACAGUUUGUUCCAGAUGACCAGCAUCCAUCUUUUAAGAACCGGGUGGAUCUGCAGGACAGACAGAUGAAGGAUGGAGACGUGUCUUUGAUUCUAAGAAAUGUGUCGAUUGCUGAUAUUGGAACAUACGAGUGUCAUGUUUACAUGACAGAAAGACACUCAUGGAAGAUCAUCAGCAACACCACCCUGAGUGUUGUUGUUUGUCAAGAAGCCGCUGGAGAGGACGCGGAGACUACAGUAAAAAGCUUCAUCAAAACCCACCUGAAGCUGCCGGAGGACACGGUGAAGAACAUCGUCUUCGAUAGGGUGCAUCGCCUCGGCCUCAUGCGGGCUGCAGCCGGGAGACCACGUCCUAUCGUGGCCAAAUUCGGCCACUUCAAACAAAA
ensembl:lncRNA